UGGAGAGUUUGAUCCUGGCUCAGGACGAACGCUGGCGGCGUGCCUAAUACAUGCAAGUAGAACGCUGAAGGAGGAGCUUGCUUCUCCGGAUGAGUUGCGAACGGGUGAGUAACGCGUAGGUAACCUGCCUGGUAGCGGGGGAUAACUAUUGGAAACGAUAGCUAAUACCGCAUAAGAGUAGAUGUUGCAUGACAUUUGCUUAAAAGGUGCAAUUGCAUCACUACCAGAUGGACCUGCGUUGUAUUAGCUAGUUGGUGGGGUAACGGCUCACCAAGGCGACGAUACAUAGCCGACCUGAGAGGGUGAUCGGCCACACUGGGACUGAGACACGGCCCAGACUCCUACGGGAGGCAGCAGUAGGGAAUCUUCGGCAAUGGACGGAAGUCUGACCGAGCAACGCCGCGUGAGUGAAGAAGGUUUUCGGAUCGUAAAGCUCUGUUGUAAGAGAAGAACGAGUGUGAGAGUGGAAAGUUCACACUGUGACGGUAUCUUACCAGAAAGGGACGGCUAACUACGUGCCAGCAGCCGCGGUA
rnacentral:rRNA from 1 species